rnacentral:tRNA from 1 species
GCGGGCGUGGCGAAACUGGCAGACGCGCGGGAUUUAGGUUCCCGUCUCUUCGGAGGUGCAGGUUCAAGUCCUGUCGCCCGCA